UACAGAGGUCUCAAGCGUUGUUCGGAUUCAUUGGGCGUAAAGGGCGCGUAGGCGGUGGGGUAAGUCUGGUGUGAAAUCUCGGAGCUCAACUCCAGAACUGCCUUUGAUACUGAAGAUCUUGAGUUCGGGAGAGGUGAGUGGAACUGCGAGUGUAGAGGUGAAAUUCGUAGAUAUUCGCAAGAACACCAGUGGCGAAGGCGGCUCACUGGCCCGAUACUGACGCUGAGGCACGAAAGCGUGGGGAGCAACAGG
rnacentral:rRNA from 1 species